rnacentral:lncRNA from 1 species
AUUUGGCGCUGACAGAUGAGGAACACCUGAAAGCAAUUUUUCAAGAAAUAUCAGCAAGUCGUCCAUGCAGUCCUGGAGGUAGCAGUGGUAGUCGGAGGGCUCCAUGGUGCUGCUGCUGCCCCGGAGCUCUUCCAGGCUGAGGGGACGAAGGUCCUGCUCCGUGUACGAGUUCCGGCCCUGGCUCAUUUCUUCAGCAGCUGUGACAUCACUCAGGAAAUAGAGAAGAAUCUGGAGGACCUCCCUGUUCUCGUCAGAGAAUGUCUCCCUUGCUGGAGCUGGACCUGUCAUCCCAGACAGAUGGCUAAUUUCUUUUCAGAACUGAGGAACUACAAAAAACUAACGGAACACUAGGAAUGGGUGCUGAAUGUGUAUAGGAGACAGCAAAGCAAAACCCACCUGAUCCAGGCAGUGGUUACGGAGGUACCGCAUGGCUUGCUGGAUGCUCUGUGGAAGGGGCUGCCCGGUACGCUGGACGUUGACUUGCAGCGGUACUCCAAAUACGUUUCGGUCUCUAUAGUCUGGCACCUUUAUCCUUU